UGCGUGGUGGUGGUGUGUGUUGAGGGUGAUGGUAGUAGUGGUGGUCCAUGGUGUUGGUAGUGGUGGUGUGUAGUGAUGAUAUAUUGUGGUGCUAGUACUGGUGGUGGUGAUAGUGUUUAUAUGUUAUGCUCACAAUGUUACAGGCAUGAGAACUGUGUUAAUGGCGAUGGUGGUGGCGGCAGUCAACCUCCAACACUGGACGAUGGCAAGACACUCAGAGUGUAAAGUGAACCUCACGGAGCCACUGAACCUGAACCUCUCCUCCUCCAAGGUGGAGUCAGAGGAGAUCUUGUGGGGCGAGAUCAGCGUCUUCCCUGGACCUGACAAUCAGUCUUGGGUCCUCAACUUCACCUUCAGGAGAGCAGACGAGUUGCUCGCUUCCGUCUUCGUCUCCCACAUGAGGAGAAAUGGCAGUCUUAGUCAAUUGGACGUCAUCAGGAUUGUGUGUGAGGGCAAUGAACCUGUAGAUAUGGAUGACCCCUGGCCCGACCCGUGGCUGCAGGCAACACCUCGACUCAUCAAGGUGAUGAUCACAGAAACCGAGGUGGUGAUCAAACAAAAGGAACGUAAUGUGUUUACGCAUAUAUGCACCGGUAAGCUCACCAGCCUGCACAACAUGAGCCUGACUGUUGAGAGUGACCCUUGUUGUCCUGCCCCCACACUGACUGUGUCCUGCGAUACUGAUAAUGGUGCUGUUCUUCCCGCCAGCAGUCACCCCUUCCUCCUGUGGCUGAUAGUUGUGUUUGGGGUGGUGGGCGGUGUGUUGCUGGGCUUGAUGAUGGGCGGUGUGUUGCUGGCCAGCCUGGAUUCUUACUACAUUAUGGGGGACCUGAAGGAACAUCAGAUACUCUAAGUCACCAGAGACAUUAUCAGUCAGUCACAAGACGAGGAGUGAACCCUCAGUUACCAGCCACUCAACCUUCACACAAUCACAGCCCAAGUUCGUGUGGUAGGUGUGUCGUCUACACAAAACAACAGUUCGGUGCCACUCUGUUUACCAUCAUGCCCAGUGAUG
rnacentral:misc_RNA from 1 species